rnacentral:rRNA from 1 species
GACAGAGGGGGCAAGCGUUGCUCGGAAUUACUGGGCGUAAAGGGCGCGUAGGCGGGAUGGCAAGUCGGUCGUGAAAUCCCUCGGCUCAACCGAGGAACGUCGAUCGAUACUGCUGUUCUUGAGGAUUGCAGAGGAGACUGGAGUUCCCGGUGUAGCGGUGAAAUGUGUAGAGAUCGGGAGGAACACCGGUGGCGAAGGCGGGUCUCUGGGCAAUUCCUGACGCUGAGGCGCGAAAGCGUGGGGAGCAAACGGG